UGCAGAUUUGAAAAUUAUUGAUAAAACUUUUGGUGACUUAGUUCUUAAAAGAUCCCCUCAUUUUGAUCCGAUUAAUUGUUACUCUUCGAUUGUGGUUGAUAAAGUCAUUACGAAAAGAAGCGUGAUUUGUUAUUCUCUUGAUUUACCUUGUGUAAAAUCCUCGAAUUCGUCCAAAUCUGUUUUGGAGAAUAAGGUAACGAAAUUUUCCAAAUUUGUUUUCAAUUUAUAUUCGUGCCUUAAACAGUUUAUGUGGUUGUACAUGAAGUUUGAGUUCCAUUUGACAAAGGUUAACUCAACAACGGAGAUUCGACUACACUAUGCCCCCGAUGAGCGAAGGUUUGUUUUAAAUGAAAAAGGUAAAAUCGACCCUUAUUCUUCUGCUUAUCGAGGUAAGAUGCUUGAAACCUUUGAAACACUUUUGUACUCCUCG
rnacentral:lncRNA from 1 species